GGCUGGCGGAGACACCAGCGGGCACCGGAGAGCUCCGCGCCCUGAAACAAAGUCGCCUGCCCCCGUCUCAAGUGUUUGCUUCGGGAUUGCUGCCCGCGCGGUCCCCCACCCACAUCCCAUUCCCGCGCAGCUCCCGCCCCCUGUGAGAAUAAGGACUAAAUAAACAAUUGUAACUGCAAACCUUGCGCCUGCGAACAUAUCCCUAUCCCAGCCCCUUCCCCCAUCCCUCCCCCCUCCUUUUUUGUUGUUGCAACUUUGUAAGAUCCCGGCGAAGGUGCUCAGACUUUGCUCGGGCCGAUUUCCCGGUCUCGGGAUCUUUGCAGGGAUUCCCUGAGACACAUCCUCUCUUCCCUCCACGCGCGCUCGCGGGUCCUCCCAGCCCGCCGCCCUCUCUGUCUUGGCCCCCGGGCCUACUCAUUCAUCCCGCCCCCUCAAUUUCCCCCAACCUGCACCCGGAAGACUUGCUGAGGGUCGCCCCGGUUUCUUGUCGAUCGCAGAACCCGAAAGUUAGCAAGAGGAAGAGAGCGCGCGGCGAGCCAGCGGGCCAGGGGCAGCGGCGGCGGCGCGGGGGACCAUGGUACUGCCGGCGCCUCCUCCGCGGGCGUAAAGGAGGCGCUCCCACUCCCUCCCUGGACUCCGCGGUGUCCCAGGAGCUUUUGCUGACAAUUCCAGUUUCCAAACGAAACAUUUGGGCAAUGGUGAGGGCUUCGAUCCCUUCUCUGAUUUGCUGUCAACUCUGAAUGGGUGGAUGUGAUGCCUGCUGGCCGAAAGGGUGAGUGAACAUUUAUGAUUACUCAUCUGAAAAUUCACAAGACAAAAAGUCGGCUGAAGGGGUCCAACCCAGUGCAGGAAACUGAUGAAAGUCUUAAGUGAUCAGAACAAUUGCACUGAGGAUGAGUGCUUCUCAUUUAGAAAGGAGGUACACACUCUGUCAUUGUUUUCUGGUGUAAUCUUUUUGGAUAACCCCUGCAGUGAUCUGAGGACUUAUAGAAGGCAAUAAUAAGAUGCAGGAGAACAUUUUUUGCUUGCAUGUUUUUUUAACCAUACUCUGAAGGGUGGACUAUCUAGAGCAGGGGUGUCCAAACUUUUUUCAAUGUUUUUCACCAAGGGCCAUAUGCAGUAAAAUACACAAACAGCCGGGCCACUCACUCGAGGUGAAGUACGUAUUGCCUCACCUGGUUUAUUUAAGUAAACUAAAUAUAUUUUUGGAAUUUGCUGCGGGCCAAUUAACAAUGGAUCGUGGGCCGCAGUUGGCCCGCGGGCCGCAGUGUGGACAGCCCUGCUCUAGAUUAUGAGCCACAUGCACAGGUGAAAGAGGAUUGCUUUUUUGGUCCAUUACAACUCGGUGAUAAAAGGAGCCACCGUGAAAUAAGACUAUAAGGACCUUCUCUUGAGUUUUGGGGAAAAUUUAAGUCUAAUUUGUUCAUCGGGAAGGUCCCAUCCCAAGCUUUCCACAUGACUAGGGCUCUUGAGAAAGCUAAAGUGUUGGGAACUUCGAUGCUCAAAGAUUUUCAGAAGGACUUAUGGGCAUUUUUUUCUACCAUAGUUUACCUCAUCAGGUUAUUAUUGUAAUUUAGGGGGGAGGUUAGAAAGGAC
ensembl:lncRNA